rnacentral:rRNA from 1 species
AACGAACGCUGGCGGCAGGCUUAACACAUGCAAGUCGAGCGCAUCCUUCGGGGUGAGCGGCAGACGGGUGAGUAACGCGUGGUAAUCUACCUUUUGCUACGGAAUAGCUCCGGGAAACUGGAAUUAAUACCGUAUGUGCCCUUAGGGGGAAAGAUUUAUCGGCAAGAGAUGAGCCCGCGUUGGAUUAGCUAGUUGGUGGUGUAAAGGCCUACCAAGGCGACGAUCCAUAGCUGGUCUGAGAGGAUGAUCAGCCACAUUGGGACUGAGACACGGCCCAAACUCGUACGGGAGGCAGCAGUGGGGAAUAUUGGACGAUGGGCGCAAGCCUGAUCCAGCCAUGCCGGGGGAGUGAUGAAGGCCUUAGGGUUGUAAAGCUCUUUCACCGGAGAAGAUAAUGACGGUAUCCGGAGAAGAAGCCCCGGCUAACUUCGUG